rnacentral:rRNA from 37 species
UUAAAUUGAAGAGUUUGAUCAUGGCUCAGAUUGAACGCUGGCGGCAGGCCUAACACAUGCAAGUC